CUACGGGCCGCUGCAGUGGGGAAUAUUGGACAAUGGGCGAAAGCCUGAUCCAGCAAUGCCGCGUGUGUGAAGAAGGCCUGCGGGUUGUAAAGCACUUUCAGUUGGGAAGAUGAUGACGUUACCAACAGAAGAAGCACCGGCUAAAUCCGUGCCAGCAGCCGCGGUAAUACGGAUGGUGCGAGCGUUAAUCGGAAUUACUGGGCAUAAAGCGCGCGUAGGCGGCUAAGUCAAUCAGAAGUGAAAGCCCCGGGCUCAACCUGGGAAUUGCUUUUGAUACUGCUUAGCUAGAGUUUGGUAGAGGAUAGUGGAAUUCCAGGUGUAGCGGUGAAAUGCGUAGAUAUCUGGAGGAACAUCAGUGGCGAAGGCGACUGUCUGGACCAAAACUGACGCUGAGGUGCGAAAGCGUGGGUAGCAAACAGGAUUAGAUACCCGCGUAGUC
rnacentral:rRNA from 1 species